UACGGGGGGGGCAAGCGUUGUUCGGAAUUAUUGGGCGUAAAGCGCGUGUAGGCGGCCAGGCAAGUUGGGUGUGAAAGCCCUCGGCUUAACCGAGGAAGUGCGCCCAAAACUACUUGGCUUGAGUACCGGAGAGGAUGGUGGAAUUCCCGGUGUAGAGGUGAAAUUCGUAGAUAUCGGGAGGAACACCAGCGGCGAAGGCGACCAUCUGGACGGAUACUGACGCUGAGACGCGAAAGCGUGGGGAGCAAACAGG
rnacentral:rRNA from 1 species